rnacentral:misc_RNA from 1 species
UAGAGGAAGUAAAAGUCGUAACAAGGUUUCCGUAGGUGAACCUGCGGAAGGAUCAUUACUGAGUGCCGGUCCCGCGUGGACCGAACCUCCCACCCUUGUCUCUUGUAUACCCUGUUGCUUUGGCGGGCCCACUGGGCUCUCCCAGUCGCCGAGGAGCCCCUGGGCCCCUGGGCCCGUGCCCGCCAGAGCGCCCUUGAACCCUCAUGAAGAUGGAUUGUCUGAGCAUGAUUGAUAAUAAUCAAAACUUUCAACAAUGGAUCUCUUGGUUCCGGCAUCGAUGAAGAACGCAGCGAAAUGCGAUAAGUAAUGUGAAUUGCAGAAUUCCGUGAAUCAUCGAAUCUUUGAACGCACAUUGCGCCCCCUGGCAUUCCGGGGGGCAUGCCUGUCCGAGCGUCAUUUCUGCCCUCAAGCACGGCUUGUGUGUUGGGUGUGGUCCCCCCCCGGGGACCUGCCUGAAAGGCAGUGGCGACGCCCGCCUAGGUCCUCGAGCGUAUGGGGCUUUGUCACCCGCUCGGGAAGGAUCUACGGGCGUUGGUCUUCCAUCAUUUUUCCACGGUUGACCUCGGAUCAGGUAGGAGUUACCCGCUGAACUUAAGCAUAUCAAUAAGCGGAGGAAAAGAAACCAACCGGGAUUGCCUCAGUAACGGCGAGUGAAGCGGCAAGAGCUCAAAUUUGAAAUCUGGCCCCUUGGGGGUCCGAGUUGUAAUUUGGAGAGGAUGCUUCGGGUGCGGCCCCUAUCUAAGUGCCCUGGAACGGGCCGUCAUAGAGGGUGAGAAUCCCGUCU